GAUAGUAGGAAUUUUUAUUUAUAAAUAUAUUUCAACACAGAUAUAAUAAGACACCAAAGAUGUUUAUACAGUAAUUUCUUUUAUGCAAUACUUUAAUAAGGUUAUUUUGAUUUUAAGCAACAGAAAUCAAUCCUAGCUAACUUUUAAGCGAAAAGUCAAAGCAUUAGUCACUCUGUGCUAUGCUUAGUCGUUCAGUCACAUCUGACUCUUUGUGACCCCAUGGACUGUAGUCCACCAGGCUCCUCUGUCCGUGGAAUUCUUCAGGCAAGAAUACUGGAGUGGUUUCAAUAAUUUAAACAUGCCAAAAGUCUUCCAUUCUUGUUACAUCUAUUCUCCUAUUCCACAGACUUUUUUUUCUAGAGUAUUUAAACAAAUGCUAUCAUUAUAUUUCACAAGGAAAC
rnacentral:lncRNA from 1 species